ACGGAAGGCAGCAGUGAGGAAUAUUGGUCAAUGGACGGAAGUCUGAACCAGCCAUGCCGCGUGAAGGAAUAAGGCCCUAUGGGUCGUAAACUUCUUUUGUGGUGGAGCAAUAAGGUGCACGUGUGCAUCGAUGAGAGUACAUCACGAAUAAGCAUCGGCUAACUCCGUGCCAGCAGCCGCGGUAAUACGGAGGAUGCGAGCGUUAUCCGGAUUUAUUGGGUUUAAAGGGUGCGCAGGCGGGCUGCUAAGUCUCCGGUGAAAUGUCAGGGCUCAACCUUGGCACUGCCGGAGAUACUGGCGGCCUUGAGAGUGGCGGAGGUAUCCGGAAUGUGUGGUGUAGCGGUGAAAUGCAUAGAUAUCACACAGAACACCGAUUGCGAAGGCAGGAUACCAUACCAUAUCUGACGCUCAGGCACGAAAGCGUGGGGAUCGAACAGGAUUAGAUACCCUGGUA
rnacentral:rRNA from 1 species